GAUGAACGCUGGCGGCGUGCCUAACACAUGCAAGUCGAACGGGUGCGCGGGGCGGAAGAUUUCGGUUGGAAGCCCGGCGCAUGAGUGGCGGACGGGUGAGUAACGCGUGGGCAACCUGCCCUGUACAGGGGGAUAACACCUGGAAACAGGUGCUAAUACCGCAUAACGGGGGCGGCCGCAUGGCCGCCUCCUGAAAACUCCGGUGGUACAGGAUGGGCCCGCGUCUGAUUAGCCAGUUGGCAGGGUAGCGGCCUACCAAAGCGACGAUCAGUAGCCGGCCUGAGAGGGCGGACGGCCACACUGGGACUGAGACACGGCCCAGACUCCUACGGGAGGCAGCAGUGGGGGAUAUUGCACAAUGGGGGGAACCCUGAUGCAGCGACGCCGCGUGGGUGAAGAAGCGCUCCGGCGCGUAAAGCCCUGUCAGCAGGGAAGAAGAAGGACGGUAC
rnacentral:rRNA from 1 species